rnacentral:pre_miRNA from 1 species
AGCCUUGUGUAUCCGUGCUGAGAUUUCGUCACACAACAGACCACAAGGGCUGAUGAGACUUCCAAGAUAAGUGAAGCG